UACGUAGGGGGCUAGCGUUGUCCGGAAUCAUUGGGCGUAAAGAGCGUGUAGGCGGCCCGGUAAGUCCGCUGUGAAAGUCGGGGGCUCAACCCUCGAAUGCCGGUGGAUACUGUCGGGCUAGAGUGCGGAAGAGGCGAGUGGAAUUCCUGGUGUAGCGGUGAAAUGCGCAGAUAUCAGGAGGAACACCAAUUGCGAAGGCAGCUCGCUGGGACGUAACUGACGCUGAGACGCGAAAGCGUGGGAAGCAAACAGG
rnacentral:rRNA from 1 species